AUACGGAGGGUGCGAGCGUUAAUCGGAAUUACUGGGCGUAAAGCGUGCGUAGGCGGUUUGCUAAGUCAGAUGUGAAAGCCCCGGGCUUAACCUGGGAACUGCAUUUGAUACUGGCAGACUAGAGUAUGCUAGAGGGGGGUAGAAUUCCUGGUGUAGCGGUGAAAUGCGUAGAUAUCAGGAGGAAUACCAGUGGCGAAGGCGGCCCCCUGGAUCAAUACUGACGCUGAGGUACGAAAGCGUGGGGAGCGAACAGAAUUAGAAACCCUAGUAGUCC
rnacentral:rRNA from 1 species